rnacentral:tRNA from 1 species
UCCCUUCUGGCUCAGCUGGUAAAGAAUCUGCCUGCAAUUCAGGAGACCUGGGUUCGAUCCCUGGGUUGGGAA